AGUUCGAUCAUGGCUCAGAUUGAACGCUGGCGGGAUGCUUGCACAUGCAAGUCGAACGGCAGCACGGACUUCGGUCUGUGGCGAGUGGCGAACGGGUGAGUAAUGUAUCGGAACGUGCCUAGUAGCGGGGGAUAACUACGCGAAAGCGUAGAAGCAAUACCGCACAUACGAAUUCCUUCGGGGGAAAGCGGGGACCUUCGGGCCUCGGCACUAUUAGAGCGGCCGAUAUCGGAUUAGCUAGUUGGUGGGGUAACGGCUCACCAAGGCGACGAUCCGUAGCUGGUUUGAGAGGACGACCAGCCACACUGGGACUGAGACACGGCCCAGACUCCUACGGGAGGCAGCAGUGGGGAAUUUUGGACAAUGGGGGAAACCCCUGAUCCAGCCAUCCCGCGUGUGCGAUGAAGGCCUUCGGGUUGUAAAGCACUUUUGGCAGGAAAGAAACGGCACGGGAUAAUACCCCGUGCAACUGACGGUACCUGCAGAAUAAGCAGCACCGGCUAACUACGUGCCAGCAGCCGCGGUAAUACGUAGGGUGCAAGCGUUAAUCGGAAUUACUGGGCGCAAGCGUGCGCAGGCGGUUCGGAAAGAAAGAUGUGAAAUCCCAGCUUAACUUUGGAACUGCAUUUUUAACUACCGAGCUAGAGUGUGUCAGAGGGAGGUGGAAUUCCGCGUGUAGCAGUGAAAUGCGUAGAUAUGCGGAGGAACACCGAUGGCGAAGGCAGCCUCCCUGGGAUAACACUGACGCUCAUGCACGAAAGCGUGGGGAGCAAACAGGAUUAGAUACCCUGGUAGUCCACGCCCUAAACGAUGUCAACGGUUGUUAAGCCCUGGGCUCUAUGGCGCGGCGCUUUCAACUGCAAAAUGGUCUGCCCAGAAAGGCUGGUCGCAGAUUAAAACUUUGGGGUGAAUUACGGACCUCGCAGCACGUGGUGAUGAUGGAUUAAUCGAUGCAACGCGAAAAACCUUACCUACCCUUGACAUGUCUGGAAUCCCGAAGAGAUUUGGGAGUGCUCGCAAGAGAACCGGAACACAGGUGCUGCAUGGCUGUCGUCAGCUCGUGUCGAGAUGCUGGGUUAAGUCCCGCAACGAGCGCAACCCUUGUCAUUAGUUGCCACGAAAGGGCACUCUAAUGAGACUGCCGGUGACAAACCGGCGAAGGUGGGGAUGACGUCAAGUCCCUCAUGGCCCUUAUGGGUAGGGCUUCACACGUCAUACAAUGGUCGGGACAGAGGGUCGCCAACCCGCGAGGGGGAGCCAAUCCCAGAAACCCGAUCGUAGUCCGGAUCGCAGUCUGCAACUCGACUGCGUGAAGUCGGAAUCGCUAGUAAUCGCGGAUCAGCAUGUCGCGGUGAAUACGUUCCCGGUCUUGUACACACCGCCCGUCACACCAUGGGAGUGGGUUUUACCAGAAGUGGUUAGCCUAACCGUAAGGAGGGCGAUUACCACGGUAGGAUUCAUGACUGGGGUGAAGUCGUAACAAGGUAG
rnacentral:rRNA from 1 species